rnacentral:tRNA from 3 species
UGUGACAGAAUAGUGUGGUAAAUUUAAGAUUUAUUUAUAAAGUUUUACUUUCUUUAGAA